AGCAGCCGCGGUAAUUCCAGCUCCAAUAGCGUAUAUUAAAGUUGUUGCAGUUAAAAAGCUCGUAGUUGAACUUCGGGAUUUGCCCAUUGGUCAGGCUUAACUGUCUGUACUGGUGUGACGAGUUCCUACCUUCUGAGGAAUCUCCAUGUCAUUCAGUUGGUGUGGGGGGAAUCAGGACUGUUACUUUGAAAAAAUUAGAGUGUUUAAAGCAGGCGUCCGUCUGAAUACAUUAGCAUGGAAUAAUAAAAUAGGACGGUUUGGUUCUAUUUUGUUGGUUUCUAGGAUCACCGUAAUGAUUAAUAGGGAUAGUUGGGGGCAUUAGUAUUCAAUUGUCAGAGGUGAAAUUCUUGGAUUUAUUGAAGACUAACUACUGCGAAAGCAUUUGCCAGGAUGUUUCAUUAAUCAAGACGAAAGUUAGGGAUCGAGACGAUCAGAUACCGUCGUAGUCUUAACAUAAACUACUGACCGACGUAGGAUCGACGAAGUUUAAUUUUUAAUGACUCGUUGCCCCGUCGUACGGAACCUGAGUCGGG
rnacentral:rRNA from 1 species